rnacentral:rRNA from 1 species
GAUGAACGCUGGCGGCGUGCCUAAUACAUGCAAGUCGAGCGGCAGCGCGAGUAGUUUACUACUUGGCGGCGAGCGGCGGACGGCUGAGUAACGCGUAGGAACGUACCCCAAAGUGAGGGAUAAGCACCAGAAAUGGUGUCUAAUACCGCAUGUGAUCUAAGGAUUAAAGCUUCGGCGCUUUGGGAACGGCCUGCGUUAGAUUAGCUUGUUGGUGAGGUAAAAGCUCACCAAGGCGACGAUCUAUAGCUGGUCUGAGAGGAUGAUCAGCCAGACUGGGACUGAGACACGGCCCAGACUCCUACGGGAGGCAGCAGUAGGGAAUUUUCCACAAUGGGCGAAAGCCUGAUGGAGCAACGCCGCGUGCAGGAUGAAUG